GAGUUUGAUCCUGGCUCAGGACGAACGCUGGCGGCGUGCUUAACACAUGCAAGUCGAGCGAUGAAGCUCCUUCGGGAGUGGAUUAGCGGCGGACGGGUGAGUAACACGUGGGUAACCUGCCUCAUAGAGGGGAAUAGCCUUUCGAAAGGAAGAUUAAUACCGCAUAAGAUUGUAGUACCGCAUGGUACAGCAAUUAAAGGAGUAAUCCGCUAUGAGAUGGACCCGCGUCGCAUUAGCUAGUUGGUGAGGUAACGGCUCACCAAGGCGACGAUGCGCAGCCGACCUGAGAGGGUGAUCGGCCACAUUGGGACUGAGACACGGCCCAGACUCCUACGGGAGGCAGCAGUGGGGAAUAUUGCACAAUGGGGGAAACCCUGAUGCAGCAACGCCGCGUGAGUGAUGACGGUCUUCGGAUUGUAAAGCUCUGUCUUUAGGGACGAUAAUGACGGUACCUAAGGAGGAAGCCACGGCUAACUACGUGCCAGCAGCCGCGGUAAUACGUAGGUGGCAAGCGUUG
rnacentral:rRNA from 1 species